GGAGCCCAAUAUUACGUCACAAGGCCCGCCCACUGCGUUUGCCUUCCGACGUUGUCACGUAGGCGUUUUGUGUGUUCCUUCAUCACAGGGAGAAGGGAAGGUGGUGAGGAAGAGCCAUGCAGCCAUCGUCCUAGAAAACCAAAAGAGUUGUUCCUAAAGUAAGGUUGCCCAUUAAGGGACGUGAGAAACGUGGUGUCGGCAGAGUCGCAGAUGUGUUUUUGCAAUUGAGCUGCUGCCAUCGCCAUGAGAGGGACAUUCCGAGCCAGCCUGCUCGUUCCCAGAGAGUGAAAGCAGAGUGAGCCCAGUUAAAUGGGUUCAGUGAAGCUGUCAACAGCGAGGCAGGCAAACAAUACACCACUGAAAGAGAAUUAGAACCACCUGCCUUGAGUCCCUUAGUUAAUGGCAUAACCCGGAUUCUGUAGCUGUACAAAAUCCUAUCUCUCCUGGUGAAAUGAUUGAUUACUCAAACUGCAACAAUGGCUUCUCUUGAGCCUUGAGCCUGCCCUUCAGACUGGAACCACACCGUCAGCUCCCCUGGGUUUCCAGAGUGCCAACUCACCCUGCAGAUCUUGUGACGUGUCAACUUCUGACUGAAUCAUGUUAGCUUUCUGAUGCCUCAUGGUCCCAAGAUGGUAGCCAGAAGACUAGUUUUCCAUAACAACUGAGCAAAUUUGCUGAGGACUACGCACACUGGACUGGCCUAGAGCAAAUCCUUUGUCUAAGAUAUACCCCUUGAAAUAAAAGCAUCUGAUUCAGAGAACCUGUAUAUAUUCCAUUGCUCAACAUUGAUCUCCUUGGCUUCGUGCAUCAAUUGACUUUGUGACCUACUGGGACCACCUGGAUCAUCCUGAAACUCUUGCUGGGACCAUCAACGGGUUACUCCAAACAAUGAGUUAUGCUGCAAAUGUUUAUUAAGGACCUACCAUGUGCCAGGCAUUCUUUUAGGGGUUGAAGAUAUAAUGGUGAAU